AGAGCUGCGUUAUCUGGAUGGACCAGCGGUGUUCUCCUUUAGCUUCCUGGCUUAUGAACAGAACACCAGAGCUGCAGUGAACACUGACACUAGAUGAGUCGGGUUGCAGAGAUUCCCGAGGUCGGCAUAUGAGGUCAAGAUUUGAGCACUGGACAGGUGGACAAGAUAUAAGGAGCCUAUAGAGAAUCGGGAACAUCAGUGAAUAACGCUGUGCCGCAUCUAACCCGCUAUCAUGUAGCUUAUUCCAGACUGACUAAAGAAAUUCCCAUCAGACUCCCUGUUAUUAUCCGACAAUUCGUUCGCCUGGAGAAUGAAAUUCCAAUGUCUCAGUGAGGAACACAGACUGGGAAGGGGCGUUCCCCAGAGGGUGUGACAUCAUCUGAAGCCAUACAGAGGAGAACUUCCUUCCUCACUCUGCUACAUACAGUCCAGAGCAGUGUCAGGCCCAAGGCCUGAUUAUUAAAAUCCUAUAUGUGUAUUAUAAUUAUAACUGUGUGAGAUGUAUUAUCCGAGACAUGGGUGAGAGGUCAUUCAGACUGUGUUUUGUGUAUUGCAUUUUAUUGGGGGUCUGGCUGUUUGUUUGUAUCUCCUUUGAAAUCAUGCACUCUGGUCCCAUCCUAUAAUCAAACAGAUAAGGGGCCAGGAAGAGAGAAGACCCCCUGGUGGGAUCAGAGGGGAGGGGGGAAUGGAGUCUCCCUCCCAAGAAAGCAGAUAUGAUAUUUAAAACAAUGCUAGACUCAGGGUGUUAAAUGCUGUGCAACAAGCUGACAAGACCAUCCUAAGAACAGCUGGACUCUCACUGAAGGACUGCUAUACCAUCAUGCUGUAAGAACUUCAUCUUUUGUUUUCUGAACUUGCCUUCCUAAACUCUUUCAUAUUUU